ACAGGGAUUGCCCUAGUAACGGCGAGUGAAGCGGCAACAGCUCAAAUUUGAAAUCUGGCGUCUUCGGCGUCCGAGUUGUAAUUUGCAGAGGGCGCUUUGGCAUUGGCAGCGGUCCAAGUUCCUUGGAACAGGACGUCACAGAGGGUGAGAAUCCCGUACGUGGUCGCUAGCCUUUACCGUGUAAAGCCCCUUCGACGAGUCGAGUUGUUUGGGAAUGCAGCUCUAAAUGGGAGGUAAAUUUCUUCUAAAGCUAAAUACUGGCCAGAGACCGAUAGCGCACAAGUAGAGUGAUCGAAAGAUGAAAAGCACUUUGGAAAGAGAGUUAAAAAGCACGUGAAAUUGUUGAAAGGGAAGCGCUUGCAGCCAGACUUGCCUGUAGUUGCUCAUCCGGGUUUCUACCCGGUGCACUCUUCUACAGGCAGGCCAGCAUCAGUUUGGGCGGUUGGAUAAAGGUCUCUGUCAUGUACCUCUCUUCGGGGAGAACUUAUAGGGGAGACGACAUGCAACCAGCCUGGACUGAGGUCCGCGCAUCUGCUAGGAUGCUGGCGUAAUGGCUGUAAGCGGCCCGUCUUGAAACACGGACCAAGGAGUCUAACAUCUAUGCGAGUGUUUGGGUGUCAAGCCCGAGCGCGUAAUGAAAGUGAACGGAGGUGGGAACCUUUCGGGGUGCACCAUCGACCGAUCCUGAUGUCUUCGGAUGGAUUUGAGUAAGAGCAUAGCUGUUGGGACCCGAAAGAUGGUGAACUAUGCUUGAAUAGGGUGAAGCCAGAGGAAACUCUGGUGGAGGCUCGCAGCGGUUCUGACGUGCAAAUCGAUCGUCAAAUUUGGGCAUAGGGGCGAAAGACUAAUCGAAC
rnacentral:rRNA from 2 species